UACCUACGGGGGGCAGCAGUGAGGAAUAUUGGUCAAUGGGCUUACGCCUGAACCAGCCAAGUCGCGUGAGGGAAGACUGCCCUAUGGGUUGUAAACCUCUUUUGUCAGGGAGCAACGCCGGCUACGUGUAGCCGGACUGAGAGUACCUGAAGAAAAAGCAUCGGCUAACUACGUGCCAGCAGCCGCGGUCAUACGUAGGAUCCGAGCAUUAUCCGGAGUGACUGGGUGUAAAGAGUUGCGUAGGUGGCAUAGUAAGUAGCUAGUGAAAUCUGGUGGCUCAACCAUUCAGACUAUUAGCUAAACUG
rnacentral:rRNA from 1 species